rnacentral:rRNA from 1 species
GACGAACGCUGGCGGCGUGCUUAACACAUGCAAGUCGAACGGUGAAGCUCCAGCUUGCUGGAGUGGAUCAGUGGCGAACGGGUGAGUAACACGUGGGCAACCUGCCCCAGACUCUGGAAUAAGCGCUGGAAACGGCGUCUAAUACUGGAUACGAGAUCAAGCCGCAUGGUUAUGGUCUGGAAAGUUUUUCGGUUUGGGAUGGGCUCGCGGCCUAUCAGCUUGUUGGUGUGGUAAUGGCUCACCAAGGCGACGACGGGUAGCCGGCCUGAGAGGGCGACCGGCCACACUGGGACUGAGACACGGCCCAGACUCCUACGGGAGGCAGCAGUGGGGAAUAUUGCACAAUGGGCGAAAGCCUGAUGCAGCGACGCCGCGUGAGGGAUGACGGCCUUCGGGUUGUAAACCUCUUUCAGCAGGGAAGAAGCGAAAGUGACGGUACCUGCAGAAGAAGCACCGGCUAACUACGUG